rnacentral:rRNA from 1 species
UACAGAGGGUGCAAGCGUUGUUCGGAAUUAUUGGGCGUAAAGAGCUCGUAGGCGGCUUGUCACGUCGGGUGUGAAAGCUCGGGGCUUAACCCCGGGUCUGCAUUCGAUACGGGCUGGCUGGAGUGUGGUAGGGGAGAUCGGAAUUCCUGGUGUAGCGGUGAAAUGCGCAGAUAUCAGGAGGAACACCGGUGGCGAAGGCGGAUCUCUGGGCCAUUACUGACGCUGAGGAGCGAAAGCGUGGGGAGCGAACAGG